CCCUGAAAUGGAAUGUCAUACGGCCAGAGCCCAGAAAUGAGAAUGGGAAUCCCAUUCCGCCCUACCAAAGGGCUAUUACCAUUUCGGUUCCAACCCAUUCCCGUUAACCAAACGGACCCUAAUGUAUUUUGUUUAUUUUCCUGUGGGCUGUGAUUCACAGCCUGUGAAUCUGUGGUGAUCGAAAAUCAACUAGAGAGAAGGUUAAGAAGAGAUGGUCCACUUUUCUUUGAUUUAUUGAUUCAUUCAUCGAAUUUUCAUCUCUACGGCAAACAUGUUCUGUUCGAGGCUGCUGUCUAAGAAAAUCCCUCCCCUACCUUGUUUGAAGAACUCACGCUCUUUUCUCUUUGAAACCAAGCAAGUAAAAGAAGCUUUAGGAUUGGACUUCAAUGGCGGAUCCAUUUUGGGCGGUUCUCAGUUUUGGGGUUUCACUUCAAGGCGUGAAUUUACUUAUAUGAGGCCAUUCGGUGUUAACUGCAAUUGUGUUUCAACGACUUUUGCUUCCCGGAAUCUGCCGAGAUGUUCUUCGUCGACUGUGGGUCCCUGGGUGAGGAGGGGUUAUACGACUCAGACUGCACAGGCUGCAAGAGAGCGAAAGUCAAAGAAGACUCUUGUGUACUUAACAGCAGUGGCUUGCGUUAUGGUGGGUUGUACUUAUGCAGCUGUUCCACUUUACAGGAGAUUCUGUCAAGCUACUGGUUAUGGGGGCACUGUUCAACGACGCGAGACUGUUGAGGAAAAGAUUGCAAGACAUGCUCAAGAUGGAUCUGCCCCUACAAGGGAGGUUGUGGUGCAGUUCAAUGCAGAUGUAGCAGAUGGGAUGCCAUGGAAGUUUGUCCCUACACAAAGAGAAGUAAGGGUCAAGCCAGGAGAAAGUGCACUUGCAUUUUACACUGCUGAAAACCGAAGCUCAACUCCUAUUACUGGUGUUUCUACGUACAAUGUCACCCCAAUGAAGGCUGCAGUGUAUUUCAACAAAAUACAAUGCUUUUGCUUUGAGGAGCAACGACUUCUUCCAGGAGAGCAGAUUGACAUGCCGGUUUUCUUCUAUAUUGACCCUGAAUUUGAGACGGACCCUAGAAUGGAUGGUGUCAACAAUUUGAUCUUAUCCUACACCUUUUUCAAAGUAGGCGAAGAGUAGACAUACUGCCUGUGUUUUCCAGUGAUAGUGCUACUAGUGGCUAACUUCCCAUUUUUUGGCGUUGUGGUACUUGGUUAAAAAAAGAACAUUGGCACAAGUACCUUGCGCAUGGACGCCAUGCAAACUUUCAUCACCAUUCAUAAAAGAAAAAGGCCUUAUUAGCAUUAAGCGUGUUAAAUUAUCAGGUGAAAGAUUCCUUUGGCUUAGAAGUUAACUUGUCUUAUGUUAAAACAUUUUUCAUCCAUUCUCUUGUUUUGCAAUUAUCUGGAAAUCAGCUACAGCAGUUUGUAGCAAACCCUUUGGCUUCGGUGUAAAUACAAAAUUACACCGAUGGAAUUUUACAACGGUCAGAUUUCUGAGUGUAAAAUGCAAACCGGCUUUAUACUCCUUUUACAACGAUGUAAAAGGACAAGAACCCCUAUUUUUCUAUGAUGAAUCAGUGGAUGAAUGAUGAAUCGGUGUUAAAUGUUUGCAUGAAAUUAAAAGGGAAAA